GGCUCCGGAGUGCGAUCGCACAUAAGAUUGCAAAUCUUAAGGAGCAGGUAGUAGCCUGCCGGGGCCU
rnacentral:tRNA from 1 species